CUGGAAGGUUAUAUACUGGACCUGCCUGUCUCGUUCAAUGGAGUCUAAUGAAACCUCUCAGGAAAAGAAAAAAUGAAGAAAGAGGUAGAGGCACAGCAAAGCACAAUAGAGACACAACAAGAAGUUUUUUGGUGGUGAACUGAGAGCAAAGUGCAGUAGCGGUGGGACAGAGGAGAUGUCAACAGAGGGGGCUUCGCCCUGAGCCCUAUACUACGAAUCAGGUUUGAAGAGUUAGCGAGAACAGUGCAAACUGUCUCUAACCAGAAUAGAAAGAGGAGUGGAAGGCCCCGGUGAACAACUGAGCUAGAGGACAAGUGCAUUAGAGUGUCUUGUUUGAGAAACAGACGCCUUACAAGUCCUCAACUGGCAGCUUCAUUAAAUAGUACCAGAAAAACACCAGUCUCAACAUCAACAGUGAAGAGGUGACUCCGGGAUGCUGGCCUUCUAGGCAAAGUUGCAAAGAAAAAGCCAUAUCUCAGACUGGCUAAUCAACACUUGAUGAUAAGUGGAUCAUUUGAAUCGUCCGUGUAGUGCUCGGGCAAAAAAGACAUGUGCACCCCUUUGGGGCCCCAGGACCAGGAUAAAUAUAGAAAUGCUGUUCUAUCUAGACUAAUCACAUUCCCCACCUCUCCCUGGCUACCAUAUGAUCCAACUCUGAACACAUUGAAUAUCCCCUCAAUUAAUGUUUGUUACGUGUACCUUUUAUUCUUUCUUUGCCGACCACAAGCAUGUAGGUUAGAUAGGAGAGCAUUGCUUGGUUUUUAAAAAAGUGUCAGUGUUGCUGCAGUUUGCAAACUUAAGUUUUUCAGGUGAGCAUGGUGAAAGUUUAUCAGAGAGAUGGGCAACUCUAGUCUUCGGAAUACAAUUAGGUAUUAAUAAGGUGUGUUAGCUGAGGGGAGAAGUGUGAUACCAAUCAGGCCCCCUCAAAAUGGAGUCAACAGACUCAACGCAAGAUCCAGAAUGAUCUGCUCUCCUGCAGAGUUACCAUCUUGUAGGUUUUCUCCAACCCUAAUCUAGUGCGCCUGAUUCAAAUAACUAGCUGGUUGAUAUGCUACAGGAGGGUAACUCUCCAGGGUACCUGAACUUCCACCUAGUCCCCCCACCCUUUUUAUCUUGUAAAAUCUUUCCCUCUACUAUAGCCAUCUUCGUUGAUUGGCCUGAGAGGAAUGUAAACACAGGCAGCUUUGCAGCUACCACAUUUAACAAUG